rnacentral:rRNA from 1 species
UACGUAGGGGGCAAGCGUUGUCCGGAAUCAUUGGGCGUAAAGAGCGUGUAGGCGGCUCGGUAAGUCCGCUGUGAAAGUCCAGGGCUCAACCCUGGAAUGCCGGUGGAAACUGUCGAGCUAGAGUCCGGAAGAGGCGAGUGGAAUUCCUGGUGUAGCGGUGAAAUACGCAGAUAUCAGGAGGAACACCAAUGGCGAAGGCAGCUCGCUGGGACGGUACUGACGCUGAGACGCGAAAGCGUGGGAGCAAACAGG